rnacentral:rRNA from 1 species
UACGAAGGGGGCUAGCGUUGUUCGGAAUUACUGGGCGUAAAGGGCGCGUAGGCGGUGUGUCAAGUCAGGCGUGAAAGCCCCGGGCUCAACCUGGGAACCGCGCUUGAGACUGGCACGCUCGAGUUCGGGAGAGGAUGGCGGAAUUCCCAGUGUAGAGGUGAAAUUCGUAGAUAUUGGGAAGAACACCGAUGGCGAAGGCAGCCAUCUGGACCGACACUGACGCUGAGGCGGCGAAAGC